rnacentral:rRNA from 1 species
UGAACGCUGGCGGCGUGCCUAAUACAUGCAAGUCGAGCGACCGGACGAGAAGCUUGCUUCUCUGAUGUUAGCGGCGGACGGGUGAGUAACACGUGGAUAACCUACCUAUAAGACUGGGAUAACUUCGGGAAACCGUAGCUAAUACCGGAUAAUAUUUUGAACCGCAUGGUUCAAAAGUGAAAGACGGUCUUGCUGUCACUUAUAGAUGGAUCCGCGCUGCAUUAGCUAGUUGGUAAGGUAACGGCUUACCAAGGCAACGAUGCAUAGCCGACCUGAGAGGGUGAUCGGCCACACUGGAACUGAGACACGGUCCAGACUCCUACGGGAGGCAGCAGUAGGGAAUCUUCCGCAAUGGGCGAAAGCCUGGCGGAGCAACGCCGCGUGAGUGAUGAAGGUCUUCGGAUCGUAAAACUCUGUUAUUAGGGAAGAACAUAUGUGUAAGUAACUGUGCACAUCUUGACGGUACCUAAUCAGAAAGCCACGGCUAACUACGUG